rnacentral:lncRNA from 1 species
ACAUUUGUUACAUGUGUAAGGUUUCUCUCCUGGACAGGUUCUGUAAUGGCUCACAGGUUGGAGAAAUGUAUAGAAUGACCUAAGACCUUGAAUCCAUUCAUAAUGUAUCUCUUAUGAUGUUUUCUAAGACCUGAGUAAGACUUAUUGCAACCACUAUACUACAAGGUGGAUCCUGUAAUGUUUUUCAAAGCCUGAUCUAUUAUAAAAGAACUUGCCACAUUCCAUAUAUUCAUAGGGAUAUUCUCCAUAAUAAAUGCUGUAAUGUACUUUGAGCUGUGACAAAUGCAAAAAGGAUUUCCUAUAUUUGUACAUUUAUGGGAUUUCUCUCUGGUAUGGACUCUGAUGUCUACUGAGGCUUGAGUACAUCUUGAAGCAUUUCCCACAUUUCCUGCAUUUGUGUGGUUUCUUCCCACUAUUAGUUUCAGCAUGAGUUUAUGUGAAGUGGAAACUUAAGGGUUCUUUGGAAAGUUGGUUGGAUGGUGUUUUGCUGGGGCGAACAUGAGAAGGAACAUUUAGCUGAUGUGGAUACAGGAGAAAGGAUGUUCUGCUAAAGCAAGCAUAUGAAAGGACACAUGAUGAAUGGUUCUUUUCCAACAACACAUGCAUUGGUCUGCCUUACAUCAGGACUCCAUAGAGAGAAAUGCACCAAAAACCUUCUGAUGUUAUGCUGCAGUUUACUGCCACUUCCAAGGACUUGGGCUGAUUGGCAGAGUGAUGUCACCUGAGAUAGAUGCACAUGCUCAGGCAAGACACAUGCUGAGGCAAGACUGUGGAGGACACAUGAUGUUUGUAGGAUGUAAAUAGGACUCAGAGGAGGCUGAACUAGGCUGGCCCAUAGAGCUAUCUGUACAACACUUGUUGGUCUUGAGUCUGCUCUGAUCUUCACAUUGCUGAGAGAGGCACAGCCAAGACUUUUCUGGCUAUCUUCCGGGUCCCUCCUACUGACUUGUGUUGAGGCUGAGGCCUGUCUACCAGGUUGUGCCAUCACUGUUGAUUCAUGUUUGCUAUUCCAAUUCUACCAAACUGGACUGCGGGUAUAUCCAUGAAGUGUUUAUGAGUGGAUUGAGCUGCUGACUUGUGAACUGAACUGCCGAUUUUCAGACAUCACAGAUAGGAGUUGCUCCAAAGAAUCUAAACAGGUCCACUUCCCCCAUCUUCCUUUUCUACUACCUCUGGUGGGUGGUGGGCUAAAUGGGAGGUUAGAGCAUUUAAGAACCAUUAUUUAAAAUGAGGCUUAAAAACAAUUAAAGUUACAUUUAUGUUCAGAGCCAGAAACCUUUUCAUACGCUGUAUUGUUGUGUUCUUAUGUGGAUUUUUGAUGUUGACUAAUGAUGGAACACACACAUUCCAACUGUUUAUACAGCUUUUAAAUUUGC